UCACGUAUUUCUCCCUGCAAAGAAAGAUAAGAAUAAGAUGACCAAGUGCCGAAGACACAGGCCCAACGCAAGCUGCUGCCAUUUUCCCGCCGGUGAGGAGGGGCUCAGGGCGGCGGGUGCUGUUCGUCGAGAGUGUCGUCGUCCGGCGAAGUCUAAAGCUAUAUGCAGCCGGCGACGAGGACUGAGGACAACUUGACGCCAAGGACAGAGCGUUGACUUCUCCAUGCCUCAGCCUCUCUCGUUGAAAGUCGAAGUGCCAGCAUCCGACGACCCCCUAUCGUCUUCCCCGACGAAC
rnacentral:lncRNA from 1 species